AGGAGACGUCGGGGGCCGCCGCCGCUCGGCGCUCGUUUCUUUCUCGUCUGGGGCGCCCGCGGCCGAGAGGCUCCCCGGCUCUGCCGCUCGCUCUUCCUUCGCUCCCUCACAGGAGCCACACACUGGGCUACCUAACGCUUCAGACGUGCACAGCUUCUGCCUUCGCCCUUUCCAAGCCCGCCCUGCUCCUCCCAACUUCCGUGUGGUGUUAGGUACCGACUACUAAUAGCACGACUGGACCUAAUGGUCAGGGGUCCCUUUACCUUUUACUACUAGCCCCAUUUGGCGAGGAGGGGGUGCACGGUUUGCCCGAGGCGGGCGAGUGAAUCUUUUGAACCGCGAGGUGAAAUUUGAACUCAGGUUCAACGCUCAGCUCCUUGCGCAGGAUACUGUCUUGAGUCUAAAAAGGGGCACAAGAGUGCCCUUUGAGUUAUAAGGUGAGUAGGAAGGAAAGCAUGCAGGGUGUGACAUUGCAAGCCUCAAAGUUAUGGCAGUUUAUAAAAAUGACAACUGCCAAGCCAUAUAUAUACUUGGCAUAUCAGCUACCUGCCCCUGAGCCAGACAAGCAUAUCGGCAAGGCAGCUACGGCAAUGGCUCGCCUCUCCAAAAGGGUACGGGAGAAAGCAAUGCAAAGGUCCAAUACCAAGAUGAAGGUCUACCAGGCUUGUGUGUUGAGCAUGCUCUUUUUGGAAGUGAGUCAUGGGCAACUUAAGAUCAUCAGGAACAUGACCUCAACACCUUCCACAUGUGCCACAUCAGGAAGGUUUUGGGCAUCACAUGGCAGGACAGAGUUUCAGGCAGAAAUGCGCUCUCCCAAGCCCAUAUUCACAGCAAGUUCGUACUCCUUUCUCAGCGACGUCUACGCUGGCUUGGUCAUGUCCACAGAAUGGAAGAUGGCAAGAUCCCCAGGGAGCUGGCUUCAAGCACCAGGCCAAAUGGCAGACCAACUCUGGUUAAGAGCUCUGCAAACGUAACAUGAAGGUUGGCAAUGUGGAAAUCCCUUAUAGAUAAACGCAGCACUUGGAGACAGUCAGGUCAUGUAUCCACAGCAGUGACCAAAGCAGAAAUGCCUGCUGGGGGCAGCACAGAAACAAGAAACGCCAUGGUGCACCUCCAUCAGCGCAACUGGACGCCUUCAUCUGCCCCAACUGCAAUAAAACAUGACUCUCUUGUAUCUGUCUCUAGCCACAGCAGGUGCUGUAACUCUCCAGCGGUUUGACUUUACCCUUCCAUUGUCUCCCAACACAGAUGGAUGACAACCAAAAUAAGGUUUAUGGAUGUGCCAGAUUCAAAAUUGUUCCAAUAAUAAUUUAUACAGGCCCAAAUUCAAAUAAGGAAGAUGAAGCACUUAUGUUGCCCUUGUCCUGUUUUGCCUUAUGAAGCACCUGAGCCUCAUUAGAUAAAUCAAUCUGUGAGUAUGGAUGGUGUAUAAGAUCAGAAUUCAAGAGAUUCUGCUUAAGGGUCAACACCCAGCUCUCCCCCCCCCCCGAGCUUUCUAUGUACUCUUAAAAGCAGCCUCUGGAGGAGUAUCAAAGUUGCAGCACUGCAGAAGGACUUAACCUUAUCCCAUGCUGUUUUCCUGAUCUAAAGGUGGGGCAAAUAGCAGCUUUGGAGAGGGCUGUUUACAUCAAUCCAAAUCAGUUACUUAUAAGAAAAAAAUAGAAACAUCCUCUCAUCAAGUUUGGCCUCUUAAAAUACUUUUUUUACAGGAAACUUUUUAAGACAUUGGCAUUAUCUAAGUAUGUUAAUGAAUUAAUUUACUUUUUCAUACACACUUAGUUAACAUUAAGGAACCUAAAAUGUGGUCAGGUCCACCAGGCUAUAUUGGUCCACUUCCCUUUUUUCCUUUUGGCCCAAAGGACUUCAAUAUUCUUAAUUUCUUUGUGCACAUGAGCAAAACUAAUUUCCCCAGAACUGUGCUUAAGCUUCCCCUUUUCAGCAAUUGUAGUAAAAUCAUCUCAAUAAAACUAACAGCUUGUAUUAAUUCCUGCUCCCACCUGAACAAUUUAACUUUAUUAAGAACAGCAAUUCCUCUUAAUUGACCAAAAUAAAAUUGGUGCAUAUUCACCAGUCCACUUCUGUCUCCUAAUUUUUCUAAUUCAGACACUUGUUCACAUAAAACAAUAAGGCUGCAUAUAAUUUAUGCACCUGAAAAAGUCAAAAUCCUCUUGUAUUGGACAAUCUUUCACUAAACAAUAAUAGGUGAGCACUCUGGACUUAGUUUCUGUCAUCCCUAUCACAUUAUUAUUCAUGUGUAUGAUAUCUUUAAAAACUAAUAAGCCUUAGAUAUAGAUAUGAUUUUGGAAAAUGACAAAUACUGAAUAGAAAAGAUGAUUUCAUGGUAGCUGAAUAGCUGAAAGUGGACAUUUUUGCUUCCUAGUAUUGUGACUUCACUGAAGCAGCAGUAGCAGCUCAACUCUCUUCCAGUCCCCUCCUUCCUACUCAACCCCCCUUUAAGCAUCUCAUUCACCGUAUGGUGUAGCUUUUUAACACUACCCCCAGCUGAGUAUAACACUUCAUGAAUAAUAGCAUUAGGAAGCAAGACUACAAAGUACUGCAAAUACAAGAACAGUUACAUCUACAGUGAUACAAAGCUUUAAACUAUUCUUUUUGCUCUGAAAUAAAAACUAGACUUUUGUGUAGGGAAGGACAAACGACACCACCGAAAAAUCCCCACACAGCAUUUUAUUCAAUUUCCUAUAGUUCUGUCAAGAAAUAAUAUUUGGUUUUGCUAUAUAGCCAUCACCAUGAUAAUGUUUAUGGAGGUUAGAGGAUGGAUUUCAAAAAUUAAUCAUAUCUGAGCUUGCACAUAUUUUCAGUAGAAAUAUAAUUUAAAGUGAUGUCUCUUAAAGAUUUUUACAACAACAGCAUUUAUAUCCAAUAUCUAAGCAUAUAUAGCUUAGAUUUCUAUUUAGUGAAAAUUAGUAUUCAGGUAGUGUUCUGAAACCAUAAGUACCACAUUUGUCUCAAAUGUCCAUUUUAUUGUGCAUUCAUGAUGAUUUGUGCUCAUGAUGAUAUCAGGGUGGUCACACGUGAUCCUGCUUUCGAUACUGUUUGUGCUUGCAAAGGUUUUGGGGUAGUCACACGGCUUCAUUUCUAAACAGUGCAUAUCCCAUCACUUCCUGCUGAUAUCCUGUAACUUGUUAUCCCACAAAUGUUCUGGUUUAUUUUUUACCUGUUUUUGGUGCAAUAAUGUGGAAGCAUUGGGGAAGCAUUGCAGAACAAGUAAUUAAGCAGAAUAAACCCACUACUGGUGCACUAUCACCAUGUCAAGAAUAGGCGUGCAACACUGGUGUCAGAAGUGGGGUUUCCUGGAGGAAGGGCCUGUGAGUAAGGUGCACCUGUGCUGAAAUAGGAGGAGAAAUAGCUACAGACCUUGAGCAGCUUGAGAGAAUAGAACAACAUCAGAACAAGCAGUUUGAGCAGAUGCUCUAGCAGCAGAAGUGGUGACAGAUCGAGCAGCAGAACCAGUUGUUUGAUAUAAUAGAGCCACGACUAGCAGAGUGGUAGGGAAGUCUCCAUGGAGUGGAAAGUGUGACUCCAUGCAACGUGCGAGCGUGCCUGAUGUGAUGCUACAGGGGGUUAAAAGUGACCCAGGAGCACAGCUGCAUGGCAUCCAGAGGGAAGGGGUGGCCAAAGAGAUCCAGAGCAUGGAUGGGCAGCUAUGAGGCUUGGACUCCAAAGGGCUGCAGUCAGUAGCUGAAGGCAAGGGAGAAGACAAUGCUUCAGAGAAGGGUGCACUGCCUGAAGCCAAGGAAAUGCUGAUUAAUUUCUCUACUCCUUGGGAGCCUGCUGUGGAAAAGGAGCAGGAGGGAUUGGGGGUGCCGGUAAGUGUGCAGUGGCUGUUGUUAAUUGAUUUCUUCACCCCCUGUGUGCUUUCUGUGGAAGAGAGGAAGCAGGAAGAAUCAGUGCCUGUGGAGAUGCCAGAAGAUGAGGUGUGUGAGAGAGAGAGGAAGAGGAAAGUAAAUUAAGCAAGGCCAUUAGGAAGACUACAGAGGAUCAAAGGGACGCUUUGCGAAAAAGCAAAUGGGUGAAGCCCCUCAAGAGCUUAGAGUUGAGAGGAGUUACAUGACGGGAAAGCAAAAAGGCAGAAGGCAGGGCAUGAUGGCUAAUAUCUAUUUGAAAGAGGCAAGACCCUCUUGGAGUGUAAUGUAAGGAACCCCUCUAUCAUAUGCUCUGGUUGUUAAUAUGUAUAAAUAAACCAUAUAUCUAAAGACA